GGCAACGUGGCCGAGUGGUUAGGCGAGGGACUGCAAAUCCCUUCUACGGCGGUUCGAAUCCGCCCGUUGCCUCCA
rnacentral:tRNA from 1 species